rnacentral:tRNA from 32 species
GCCUCGGUAGCUCAGGAGUAGAGCAGAGCCCUGAAAAGGCUUGUGUCGGAGGUGCGAAUCCUUCCCGAGGCACCA